rnacentral:tRNA from 1 species
CGAAGACAUAGCCGAUCUUGGCCAUCAGCGUGCGGCUCAUGGCGGCGCGCAGAUAGCCCGCGAUCUGGCGCGCGGUGCCUUCCGCGGUUUUCAAC